AGCAGCCGCCACGGGAAUACGUAGGUGGCAAGCGUUGUCCGGAAUUAUUGGGCGUAAGGGGCUCGCAGGCGGUUUCUUAAGUCUGAUGUGAAAGCCCCCGGCUCAACCGGGGAGGGUCAUUGGAAACUGGGAAACUUGAGUGCAGAAGAGGAGAGUGGAAUUCCACGUGUAGCGGUGAAAUGCGUAGAGAUGUGGAGGAACACCAGUGGCGAAGGCGACUCUCUGGUCUGUAACUGACGCUGAGGAGCGAAAGCGUGGGGAGCGAACAGGAUUAGAUACCCCUGUAGUCCCUGUCUCUUAUAA
rnacentral:rRNA from 1 species